GAUGAACGCUGGCGGCGUGCCUAAUACAUGCAGGUCGAGCGAACACAUAAGGAGCUCGCUCCCUUGCCGUUGGCGGCGGACGGGUGAGUAACACGUGGGUCACCUUCCUAUAAUUCUGGGAUAACUCCGGGGAACCGGGGCUAAUACUGCAUAAUAUGUUGAACCGGAUGGUUCUACAGAGCAUCGCGGCUUUGGUGUUACUUUUAGCUGGUCUCGCGCCGUAUUAGCUAGUUGGUGAGGUAACGGCUCACCAAGGCGACGAUCCGUAGCUGAUCUGAGAGGAUGAUCAGCCACACUGGAACUGAGACACGGUCCAGACUCCUACGGGAGGCAGCAGUGGGGAAUAUUCGGCAAUGGGCGCAAGCCUGACCCAGCAAUGCCGCGUGAGUGAAGAAGGCCUUCGGAUCGUAAAACUCUUUUAUUAGGGAAGAACAAAUGCAUGUGAAUCCGUGGGUGUCUUGACGGUACCUAAACAGAAAGCAACGGCUAACUUCGUG
rnacentral:rRNA from 1 species